rnacentral:rRNA from 1 species
CACGUAGGGCGCAAGCGUUGUCCGGAAUUAUUGGGCGUAAAGAGCUCGUAGGCGGUCUGUUACGUCUGCUGUGAAAACCCGGGGCUUAACCCUGGGCUUGCAGUGGAUACGGGCAGACUAGAGGCAGGUAGGGGAGAAUGGAAUUCCCGGUGUAGCGGUGAAAUGCGCAGAUAUCGGGAGGAACACCGGUGGCGAAGGCGGCAUCCUGGACCGACACUGACACUGAGGAGCGAAAGCCAGGGGAGCAAACGGG